rnacentral:lncRNA from 1 species
AUGCACCUACUCACAAACGUUUUUUGCACGAUGCUCCGGGCGCUAAGUGCUACUCGAAAGGCUUUUCGGGGAGUGGUGACUGGGGGCCGGGAGUACCCAGCUGCCGGGUCCCUGCUGCCCACACGGGGUUGGUACUCACCUGCUGCAGGGCCAGGUAGGGCCGGUGCCGGAGCAGCCUGCUGUGGUACACGUAGAGCACGGCGCGCAGGACGCGUCCCUCGGCGGCCAGGCCUGGCCCCGACAGCCGCUUCCCGGCGACGUCGCACCGCCGCCGCAGCGCCGGCAGUAACCUCACUGAGGNGUGCUUGGCCGCCAGCGGCACCGUGGCGCUGUUCGCGGGCCAGGGCACGUCCAGCCGGUUCCAAGGCUCGUCCCGCCCGUCCCAGGCCGCCCUGGGCGCCGCCAUCUUCCCGCUGCGCGCGGCGGGCCCCAGCGUAGGCGGCACCAUCCGGGCGGGCUGGCGGGGAGAGUCGCGGGCCGGACCAAGUCAUCCCGGGGGGGUGCAUCAUGGCUCGGCACCUGGCGCUGAUGCGCGACAUGGGAAAUAACUAUAAAUUAUGAGUGUUAUUCACACUUUCUAAACCUCGCAAUUCUCCACUGUGUGCCUCAGGAGCUGAGGCCGUUGGGAGCCAGCGCCGCAAUAGCAGUGAGGCGGUGCGGCCGUGAACAUGGGGGUGACAGCAGUCCUCAGCCCUGCAGCCGUGCCCUCCCAUGUCGCACACGGCCCAGGUACCCUCCUGGCCAUCCCUACGCUCCAAGCUCACAGCCCCUACUGUUGGAAUUUGCUCUGGGAGGGGGCCACGGCAGGUUCCCCAUGGAGUUGAUUGCUGUAAUUCAUUAGUGCUGUUGGAAUAGUUUCCUAUCAAAAUGAUUUUUGUAGUGUUCUGAGUUCUCCUCCCCCAACUACAAGACAUUCCUGCCUCUUUCCCUCCCUGCCUGAAGUUGAAUGUACUCUUCUCCUACUUGCAAAUCUUGGUACAAUUAAUAUAUUUGUGAGAAACAAGGGAGUUACAUUGAGCACAAUUUUUG